CCGCCCCCUCCGCCGCCAACAUCGCCUUCCCCGCUUCCCCCCCGAGCGGCGCGGCGCCCUCUGAGGCGGCCCCGGCCGGCGCAGAUGGUGGACUGAGCUGGCCUGGAAAAAGAAGCCAAUUCUUCCCCCAAGCUCUUUAUCCGCUCCCUUUAGGGGGAGCCCAGCCACAAAAUGGGGGACCCAAGAGACCUGUGUUCUCACCUGGAUUGCAUAGGUGAGGUCACCAAGGACGAUAUGCUUUUCAAGUCCAAGGGAACAUGCCAGUCUUGUGGUGCAGGAGGACCAAAUCUCUGGGCCUGCCUUCAGGUUGGUUGCCAUUAUGUCGGUUGUGGAGAGUCCUUUGCGGAUCACAGCACUUUGCACGCCCAGGCCAAAAAGCACAAUUUGACGGUCAACCUGACCACUUUUCGGGUGUGGUGCUACGCGUGCGAGAAGGAGGUGUUCUUGGACCAAAACCUGGCUUCCCAUCCUACCAACCUGCCUUCCAAAUUUAUGGAACAGGAUUCUCUCCCACCUGUCCAUCCGCUCAAAGCUGUUCCGAUUGCCGUCGCUGACGAAGGAGAAUCGGAAUCGGAAGACGAUGACCUCAAACCAAGAGGCCUUACGGGGAUGAAAAAUCUUGGGAAUUCGUGUUACAUGAACGCUGCUCUCCAAGCUCUCUCGAACUGCCCCCCACUCACACAGUUCUUCCUGGAAUGCGGUGGUCUCGUGAGAACCGACAAGAAGCCGGCGCUCUGCAAAAGUUACCAGAAGCUGAUCUCCGAAGUCUGGCACAAAAAACGCCCGAGCUACGUUGUCCCCAGCAGCCUCUCUCACAGCAUCAAGCUGAUCAACCCCAUGUUCCGGGGCUACGCACAACAGGACACGCAAGAAUUCCUCCGCUGCCUGAUGGACCAACUACACGAAGAGCUGAAGGAGCCGAUGACGGCAGAACUGCGCGACUCGGACACGAGCGACACGGACGACAAGCGAGAGGGCGACCGCAGCCCUUCGGAGGACGAGUUCCUCUCCUGCGACUCGAGCAGCGACCGCGGGGAAGGGGACGGGCAGAGCAAAGCAGGCUCCGCCGAAGCGGAGCUGCUGAUCCAGGAGGAGGCGGCCGGCCGCAGCAUCUCCGAGAAGGAGCGGAUGAAGGAGCGGAAGUUCUCCUGCCACCAACGGCGGAGCAACUCGGAGCAAGUCGACGAAGAUGCUGACAUCGACACCUCGGUGAUGGCGGUGGAGGGCGGGGCUUCUCCGGAAGGGCUCCUCCCACCCCCUCCACGACCCGCCAGCCCUGCAAGGACCCCAGAACCAGAUAAUGACGCCUAUUCACGUUGUCCCUCGCGGCCCUGCAGCCCUGUCCACCACGAUGUCUACUCCAAACUCUCCAAUCCUCCACAUUCCAGCCCGGUGAGGCUGGGACACUCGUACGUGCUGAAGAAAGCUCAGCUGUUGACUUCCGGAAAAAAGAAGAAAGAGUUACGUUACCGUAGCGUCAUUUCUGACAUCUUCGACGGCUCCAUUCUCAGCCUCGUCCAAUGCCUCACCUGUGACCGAGUUUCCACCACUGUAGAGACUUUCCAGGAUCUGUCGCUGCCGAUUCCCGGGAAGGAAGAUUUGGCAAAACUGCAUUCAGCCAUUUACCAAAAUGUGCCCAUCAAGGCAGGAGCGUGCGGCGACAACUACGCCGCCUCGCAGGGCUGGAUCGCCUUCAUCAUGGAAUACAUUCGCAGGUUUGUGGUCUCCUGUAUCCCCAGCUGGUUUUGGGGCCCCGUCGUUACUCUGGAAGACUGCCUGGCUGCCUUUUUCGCCGCCGACGAGUUGAAAGGCGACAACAUGUAUAGCUGUGAAAAAUGUAAAAAGUUGCGGAACGGAGUCAAGUAUUGUAAAGUGCUGCAGCUGCCUGAGGUCCUCUGCAUCCACCUGAAGCGUUUCCGGCACGAAGUCAUGUACUCCUUUAAAAUCAACAGCCAUGUUUCCUUCCCCCUGGAAGGCCUGGACCUCCGGCCCUUCCUGGCCAAGGAGAGCGUCUCCAAAGUCACCAACUACGAUCUCCUCUCGGUGAUUUGCCACCACGGCACGGCCGGCAGUGGACAUUACAUCGCCUAUUGCCAGAACAUGAUCAACGGCCAGUGGUACGAAUUUGACGACCAGUACGUGACGGAAGUGCACGAAACGGUCGUGCAGAACGCCGAGGCUUACGUCUUGUUUUACAGAAAAAGCAGCGAGGAGGCUGUCCGGGAGCGCCAGAAAGUUGUCUCGUUGGCCACCAUGAAGGAGCCCGGCCUGCUGCAGUUUUACAUCUCCCGCGAAUGGCUGAACAAAUUCAACACCUUCACAGAGCCCGGACCCAUCAGCAACCACACUUUCCUCUGCUCCCACGGAGGAAUUCCACCGAAUAAAUACCAUUAUAUUGACGAUCUGGUGGUGAUUCUGCCCCAGAAUGUUUGGGAAUACCUGUAUAACAGGUUUGGGGGUGGCCCAGCCGUGAAUCACCUCUACGUCUGUUCGGUGUGCCAGGUGGAGAUUGAAGCCCUGGCUAAGCGGAGGAAAAUGGAGAUUGACACGUUCAUCAAGCUGAACAAAGCUUUCCAGGCGGAGGAGUGUCCAAGCGUCAUUUUCUGCAUCAGUAUGCAGUGGUUCCGUGAGUGGGAAGCCUUCGUCAAAGGGAAGGACAACGAGCCUCCUGGUCCGAUCGACAACACCAAAAUUGCCGUGGCCAAAGGAAGCGGCCACAUGCAAGUCAAACAGGGAGCCGAUUACGGGCAGAUCUCGGAGGAGACCUGGAUCUACUUGAGCACGCUCUACGGCGGAGGCCCCGAAAUCGCCAUCCGGCAAAACGUGGCCCAGGUGCAGGAGGUGGAAAGUCUCCACGGGGAACAGAAGAUCGAAGCCGAGACCAGAGCUGUUUAAAAAACGAGGGACGCAUUCAGGUGAGCUGCCUGGAGAACCCAAAAGUGGACGUACCUUCAGCCAUCCGGUUGCUUGGUUUACUGUAUUUUUCGGAGCAUAAGACGCUCCGGACUAUAAGACGCACUUACCUUUUUUGGUCGGCUGCUCCCCCGUCAAACUCCUCCUGCGUCUUGGAAGUCAACCCACAUCCAGCCACUGCUCUCACCACUACCACCCCCUGCCCUGUCCCCAGCCAGCCCCUUGGCCACCAAUCUUAAUUCGAGGCUCGGUCGCGUCUCCGUCCCUCUUUGCCAGGAGGGUCGGGGAGGGGAUCUGACAGGCGAAUUUGUCCCCAAAAUCGUCCCAUUCCAGGCCAGAAUGAGCACCUGCUCCGGUUUGGUUUUCCUGCCUUCUCAUCCCAUCACCUGCCGAAGUCGGGAAAGGGUUCUUUGGGGAGAAAUUUUGGGUUGCCCUUGGAAGGAGCCGGUGUCAUCGCCAUUCUCCUUCGUCACCUUGCUGGCCUUUGAUCUGUUCUUGAGGCUCCAAGGAGAAAGUGCACCCUUGUCUUGGUUCUCCUUUUAGUUCCUCUUCUGAAUUUUUACCUGGAGGUGGGGGUGGGGGUGGGGCACCUGCAGGAGAGAUUUUGAAGCCACCUGGCUUCAAGAAACCUGGAAAGAACCUCAUCGUUUGACAGGGUUUGGGGUUUUUUGUGGCACACACAAUAUAUAUAUAUAUAUAUAUAUUCCUCCCUUCACCCAUACGGAUCAAAAGCGGUUGGCUGGAACUCCCAAUUCCCUUCUAUUUAUCUAUUUAUUUGCAAGGAAUGGAUUGUCCUUGGUCCUUCUCGUCUCUGACCCCCCCCCUCCCCGCCAGCCCCAAUUAUUGCCCAGCACAAACUGGUAACACUGGUACCCUUAAAACCAAGCACGGGCCUCGAGCCACAUCGACAAAACACCCUUGAAUUUUCAUCCGGUGGUUCUUUAACACAGCCAGAAAUAUUACGCAGCCCAAAUAUUACACAGAAGUUGAGGGAACCCUCUACAUCCUUGCGCUGAAAAGAGGUUGAGCAUAUCCUGCAAACUUUUUCUUCGGGGACGUGUGACUUUCUCAUCCGCCUGGAUGAUGCUUAGGGCAAGAUGGAAAAACUCAGUUUUUUCCCUAGGCAAAUGGCAGUCCCGCUUUGGACGUGAACUAAGAGCUGGCCUCUUGGGACGUCUCCGCUUUUCACUUCUUCGACAGAGUCCCGGUUUGCUAAUCCUCGAGAGAGAGAGAGAGAGAGAGAGAGAGAGAGAGCGCAGAGAUUCUUAACUGUCCUAGCGAUUUGCCACUUGGCACCUUUCUCCCCAGACUCGCACACCUGCCCACAGUCUCCCUUUUCGAGCCAGGUUGGAAUGGCAUCGUCCUCAACAAGCCAGUUUAUUAUUAUUAUUAUUUUUCUGGAGAAAGGAGGAGGAACAGAUGCAGAAUGAAAAUGUGGACUUGGGAGAAGCUGCUUUGGAGACGAGACUUCGAUGGCAAAGGUUGGGUUGGUGACCUACCUAAAAAGAGACCCUAGCCAAGUUUCUUGGCUUCACCUCUCGUACCUGCUGGAUGCCACCUGUCUUUGUCGUUUUCUCCCCCUCCCAGAGUUCUCUAGGAGGGGCAGCCUUGUUUUUCCAUCGUCCUGCCUGGACCUACUUUGCAGAGACUGGGACCUCAGACAAGUCAUCCCGGUGCCCAAAAUGGAUUAUUAUUAUUUUUUUUCUUGCCGAGAACAUCAGCCAAUAAAACUCGCUCGCAUUCAAAAGUC